rnacentral:lncRNA from 10 species
AACAGGUGGCAUUUUGGUUAUAUGAGUAAGUUCUUAAGCGGUGAUUUGUGAGAUUUUGGUGAACCCAUCACCUGAGCAGUAUACACUGCACCCAAUUUGUAGUCUUUUAUCCCUCACCCCCUUCCCACCCUUUCCCCUUGAGUCCCCAAAGUCCACUGUAUCAUCCUUAUGCCUUUACAUCCUCAUAGCUUAACUCCCACUUAUGAGUGAGAACAUACGAUGUUUGGGUUUCUAUUCCUUAGUUACUUCACUUAGAAUAUAAGUCUCCAAUCUCAUCCAGGUUGCUGCAAAUGCCAUUAAUUCAUUCCUCUCAUAGUUUAUUUAUUUGCCCCUUCGGAAAACUAAGAUAGGACCACACCUCAUGCUUUUGCUUAUUUCAUUGAUUCUUUUUUUGCUUUGUGUGCGUCGUACUCUCACCCACUUCCAUUACUGCAAAUCCAACUUUUAGCUAUCCUUAAAGAUUUACCUACUGAUCUCUUCCUACUCCAACAACCAAAAAAAAACAAAGUUUUUUUUUCUCCCUUUAUUUUAUUAAUUAGGUUUUGUUCACAAUCUUCUGGUACUUAUCCCAUUCUCUUUCAUAUUAUUUAUUACAGCGCGUCUUAUUUCCCAUAUCAGAUUUUAAGUUAUCUGAAGGCAGAUUGUUUUAUUCCACUUCAAAAGAAGGCAAUAUAUUAAUAGCUUCAUGGAUAAAAGCCACGGUUUUCGUUUGUUUGUUUUGGUGAGACGGAGAUUUGUUGCCCAGGCUGGAGUGCAAUGGCACGAUCUCGGCUCACCGCAUCCUCCGCCUCCCAGGUUCAAGCGAUUAUCCUGCCUCAGCCUCCCGAGGAUUACAGGCAUGUGCCACCACGCCCAGCUAAUUUUGUAUUUUUAGUAGAGACGGGGUUUCACCGUGUUGCCCAGGCUGAUCUUGAACUCCUGACCUCAGGUGAUCCGCCCGCCUCGGCCUCCCAAAGUGCUGGGAUUACAGGCGUCAGCCACUGUGCCUGGCCAAAGCCAUGGGUUUUUAGUUGAGUCCUAAUGGGCAAAAACGCCACACAACUGGAAAAAAAUACCACCUGCGUCAUAAACUUGUAAGGAAUCAUAAAAGGAUGCAUAUAAAGCGGCCCGGCUCCUAAUUACUUGGUAAUUGUUAACUAUUGCUUUCACUCUGUCCCCAAAACAAAAGCCUUACAUGGUGUAGGCAUAUUACUUGUUGGUAAAGCUGACUACUAACAAGUACACCCAUACCCAGUAAUACAUUAGAAUUACCUGUGUCUAGAGGACUAACGUGAUUAACCACGACCUAGCAGCACUUACAAAGGCCUGGAUGACCAGUAUAAAACAAUUCCCCACUAUCUAAAUCAGCACUGUCCAAUAUAACUUUCUGCGAUGCUGGGAAUGGGCUAUAUAUAAUCUGCACUGUCCAAUAAAGAGGUCACUGAGCUCCUGAAAUGUGGCUAGUACAACUGAGAAACUUAUCCAGUCGUUAGUGACCAUCUUACUGGACAGCUCAGCUCUUGAAUCUGCCUCGACCCGUCAACUCUUUAAACUCGCCCAUGUCCUCUUUUUCACUAGCGAAAUAAUUCUUUUUCUAAGUAACCUUCACUGAUUCAAGGCAUCAGAACGUCAACUGAUCCCAAGCCCUUUUUUUCUUUAGCUGUUACACACGUGUGUUCACCGUGAACCUUCACCAAGAAACAGCAUCCAUAUAAAACCCAUAGCACAUGACAAAGUCAGUCAAACAUCAAAGGUCAUGAAAUCAUCUACUUAAAAUAACUCAUCGCGCCUCGACCUCGUGAAGCACGGUCUCGAGGGUGGACGGGAACAAAAAACAAACAGGGCGACAGGCGUAGAGAAAAUGCGAGGAGCACGCGGGGAGGUCUGGCACCCCUGUCACGGCGACUCCAGGCUGAGGCCGCCCGCACGCCCGCUCUCCCACGCCGGGCACUGUCGCUCCCGGCACGCGCACAGGCCGGACACGACUCGCCCCGGCCCCCACCCCCAACGGCGGCACGGCGGCACGGCGGCACGCACCAAGACAGUGCGAGAGUCGCUCCUCUCUCUGUAUCGACUCCAAGCCGGCCCCACCCCCGGCUCCUCUGAACCCCGCCUGGAAACCUUGCCCAAGCCGCUCAUUGCUCAAGGCCCCCGUAC